GACGAACGCUGGCGGCGUGCCUAAUACAUGCAAGUCGAGCGAGACUCUUCGGAGUCUAGCGGCGGACGGGUGAGUAACACGUGGGCAACCUGCCUGUAAGACUGGGAUAACACCGGGAAACCGGUGCUAAUACCGGAUAAUCCUUUUUCUCUCAUGAGGAAAAGCUGAAAGUCGGUUUCGGCUGACACUUACAGAUGGGCCCGCGGCGCAUUAGCUAGUUGGUGAGGUAACGGCUCACCAAGGCGACGAUGCGUAGCCGACCUGAGAGGGUGAUCGGCCACACUGGGACUGAGACACGGCCCAGACUCCUACGGGAGGCAGCAGUAGGGAAUCUUCCACAAUGGACGAAAGUCUGAUGGAGCAACGCCGCGUGAGCGAUGAAGGCCUUCGGGUCGUAAAGCUCUGUUGUUAGGGAAGAACAAGUACCGGAGUAACUGCCGGUACCUUGACGGUACCUAACCAGAAAGCCACGGCUAACUACGUGCCAGCCGCCGCAGUAA
rnacentral:rRNA from 1 species